UANGAGUUGAUCAUGGCUCAGAGUGAACGCUGGCGGUAGGCCUAACACAUGCAAGUCGAACGGCAGCACAGGAGAGCUUGCUCUCUGGGUGGCGAGUGGCGGACGGGUGAGGAAUACAUCGGAAUCUACUUUUUCGUGGGGGAUAACGUAGGGAAACUUACGCUAAUACCGCAUACGACCUACGGGUGAAAGCAGGGGAUCUUCGGACCUUGCGCGAUUGAAUGAGCCGAUGUCGGAUUAGCUAGUUGGCGGGGUAAAGGCCCACCAAGGCGACGAUCCGUAGCUGGUCUGAGAGGAUGAUCAGCCACACUGGAACUGAGACACGGUCCAGACUCCUACGGGAGGCAGCAGUGGGGAAUAUUGGACAAUGGGCGCAAGCCUGAUCCAGCCAUACCGCGUGGGUGAAGAAGGCCUUCGGGUUGUAAAGCCCUUUUGUUGGGAAAGAAAUCCAGCUGGCUAAUACCCGGUUGGGAUGACGGCUACCCAAAAGAAAUNAAGCACCGGGCUAACUUCGUGCCAGCAGGCCGGCGGUAAUAACGAAGGGGUUGCAAGCCGUUACUCCGGGAACUUUACUUGGGAUCGGGAUUCCCGGGGGCCCGGUUCGACUUGCAGGGCCUUGAUUGCGAGCUUUUUCCUAUAGUUGAGUCGANUAA
rnacentral:rRNA from 1 species